AGUAGGGCUCUUAAUUGAGUUCAUCUAAUCUCACACGACCAUGCCCGCACAACGAGAGGUUGAAAAGCUUUAGUUCUGAAUUGAGUUCAUCUUUGUGCAGCUAGCCAUAGUUCCUUGCAAGCUUGCUGGUGAUACUGUGACCUGGAGCUGAAGUUAAAGCUCUUCAGUUCAAAGAUUAGUCCCGAUGAAAUCUGAAACCAAGUAGCUCUUCAAGGUUUCUAUUUA